AAAGGCGGCGCCGCUGCUGGCGCGGGAGGACGGGGGCGCCGCCGCCGAGGGAUCCGGGCGCGGCGGCGGAGCGACGUGGGCGCAGACGCGAGGAAACAUGGUGGUGUCCAUCGUCGGCACGGGGUGCUGGGCCUGCCCUACGCCUUCCGCGCCGCCGGCUGGCUCGCGGGAACCCUCGGAGUCGCCGCCGCCGGCUGCGCCACGCUCUACUGCAUGCUCCUCCUCGUGGAGUGUAGAGAUAAACUGGAAGAGGAAGAAACAGAAGAGCCAUGUGAUGUUCUCUACACGUAUGGGGAUUUGGGUCAGAAGUGUUUUGGGACAAUCGGUCGAUGCUCGACAGAAAUCCUCAUCUUCCUUUCUCAAGCCGGCGGUUCUGUUGCUUACCUGAUAUUCAUUGCUCAGAAUCUCCACUCCAUGCUUACCCAGUUCAUGUCACCAGACACCUUCAUCUUUGCCAUCCUCCUGCCUAUGCAAAUUGCACUCUCCUUCGUUCGCUCGCUGUCCUCCCUUUCACCUUUCAGCAUAUUUGCAGAUGCAUGCAAUGUCCUAGCGAUGGCCAUAGUUAUCAAAGAGGACAUACGGCUUUUCGACCAUCCAUUUGCAGAUAGAAGUGCUUUUAAUGGGCUUUGGGCGAUACCUUUCUCUUUUGGGGUUGCACUUUUCUGCUUUGAAGGGUUCAGCAUGACUCUGGCACUGGAAGCAUCGAUGGCGGAACGGAAAAAAUUCAAAUGGGUGCUUUCUCAAGCACUUGUAUGUAUCAUGUUUGUGUAUGCGUGUUUUGGAGUGUGCGGAUACUUGGCUUAUGGUGAAGCCACCAAGGACAUCGUAACACUUAAUCUUCCCAACAGCUGGUCUUCUUCUGCAGUUAAGAUUGGCCUAUGCAUUGCACUAGCAUUCACAUUUCCGGUCAUGAUGCACCCGAUCCAUGAGAUUGUUGAGGCGAGAAUCAGAUCGAGUCGGUGCUUUCAGAAGUUUUCACAAAAUGUCGGUGGCCCCAAUUGGUUAGCCUUGCACGCAAGCCGCAUCAUGGUGGUGAUCAUCCUUGCUGUGGUGGCCUCGUACGUGCCUGCAUUUGGGGCCUUCAUCGCCUUCGUCGGGAGCACGGUGUGUGCUCUGCUCGCUUUCGUGCUGCCUACCGCCUUCCAUCUCAGCAUUGUGGGGUCUUCGAUGAGCUUGUGGCGACGCCUGCUGGACUACGGUUUCCUUCUCUUUGGCCUUGUUUUUGUUGUCUAUGGAACCUUCACUGCUCUCUAG
rnacentral:rRNA from 1 species